GACGAACGCUGGCGGCGUGCUUAACACAUGCAAGUCGAGCGGAGCGGCGAACGGGUGAGUAACGCGUGAGUAACUGCCCCCCUCUCGGGGAUAACAGUUGGAAACGGCGGCUAAUAACGGAGAGUGGGGGAUGACUCGCGUCCUAUCAGCUUGUUGGUGGGGUAAUGGCCACCCAAGGCGACGACGGGUAGCCUGCCGGGGAGGGGACCAGGCCUCAUUGGUCGGCGGUACGGUCCAAACUCCUACGGGAGGCAGCAGUGGUGAAUAUUGCGCAAUGGGGGAAACCCUGAUGCAGCAACCCGCGUGCGUGAGGCCGGCCUUCGGGUUGUAAACCACUGUCAGCCAUGACGCGGUAGUGGCAGAAGAAGCACCGGCUAACUACGUGCCAGCAGCCGCGGUAAUAC
rnacentral:rRNA from 1 species